UACGUAGGUGACAAGCGUUGUCCGGAUUUACUGGGCGUAAAGGGCGCGUAGGCGGCCAGCACAAGUCAGUUGUGAAAUCUCCGAGCUUAACUCGGAAAGGUCAACUGAUACUGUGCGGCUAGAGUGCGGAAGGGGCAACUGGAAUUCUUGGUGUAGCGGUGAAAUGCGUAGAUAUCAAGAGGAACACCUGCGGCGAAGGCGGGUUGCUGGGCCGACACUGACGCUGAGGCGCGAAAGCCAGGGGAGCGAACGGG
rnacentral:rRNA from 1 species